rnacentral:rRNA from 1 species
ACUCAAAUGAAUAGACGGGGGCCCGCACAAGCGGCGGAGCAUGUGGCUUAAUUCGACGCAACGCGAAGAACCUUACCAAGGCUUGACAUGCAGGGAAAUCUCAUAGAGAUAUGGGGUCCGCAAGGGCUCUGCACAGGUGGUGCAUGGUUGUCGUCAGCUCGUGUCGUGAGAUGUUGGGUUAAGUCCCGCAACGAGCGCAACCCUCGUUCCAUGUUGCCAGCGCGUAAUGGCGGGGACUCAUGGGAGACCGCCGGGGUCAACUCGGAGGAAGGUGGGGAUGACGUCAAAUCAUCAUGCCCCUUAUGUCUUGGGCUGCACACAUGCUACAAUGGCCGGUACAGAGGGCUGCGAAACCGCGAGGUGGAGCGAAUCCCACAAAGCCGGUCUCAGUUCGGAUUGGGGUCUGCAACUCGACCCCAUGAAGUCGGAGUCGCUAGUAAUCGCAGAUCAGCAACGCUGCGGUGAAUACGUUCCCGGGCCUUGUACACACCGCCCGU